UACGUAGGGGGCUAGCGUUGUCCGGAUUUAUUGGGCGUAAAGAGCGUGUAGGCGGCCAGGUAGGUCUGCUGUGAAAACUCGAGGCUUAACCUCGAGAUGUCGGCGGAAACCAUCUGGCUAGAGUCCGGAAGAGGAGAGUGGAAUUCCUGGUGUAGCGGUGAAAUGCGCAGAUAUCAGGAAGAACACCCGUGGCGAAGGCGGCUCUCUGGGAUGGUACUGACGCUGAGACGCGAAAGCGUGGGGAGCGAACAGG
rnacentral:rRNA from 1 species